UACGGAGGGUGCGAGCGUUGUCCGGAAUCAUUGGGCGUAAAGGGCGCGUAGGCGGACAGUUAAGUCAGGGGUGAAAUCCUGGAGCUCAACUCCAGAACUGCCUUUGAUACUGAGGAUCUUGAGUUCGGGAGAGGUGAGUGGAACUGCGAGUGUAGAGGUGAAAUUCGUAGAUAUUCGCAAGAACACCAGUGGCGAAGGCGGCUCACUGGCCCGAUACUGACGCUGAGGCACGAAAGCGUGGGGAGCAAACAGG
rnacentral:rRNA from 1 species